GUAGGUAUAAAAACAGUUGGCUAUGUGACAGUCACAUACUAAGCUCAUUCUUCAUGAGCUACAUUACACUUACGUACAAUUUUAUAGAAAAUAUUCAAACUAUUUAAGAAGUUUUUAUGUUGACUAAUUUGUCAGAUAUAAAUUUUCACUAGCAAAACGUUUUUAUCCAGCUUCAUUUUUUUAAAAAUGGUUAAGAAGAACUCUGUCAUUUGUUCACAAUCAGGCGUACGAGUUCGCAUACUUUGGAUGGUGAUUCUAACUCUGUGUAUUCAGAUAAACCAAGUCCCAGCUUCAGAAUACUGCCACAAUGGCACUAGUAUGGUUCUGUUAGACCAGGAGAAACAUUUUUGUUGUGAGGUAGUAUACAACAGAAGGGAUCAGCAUGGUCUCCAGCAAGAAUGUUGCAGAAAAACAGAUGGUAAGAGCUUUUCCUUUUUAUUAGCUCACCUGGGCACUUUGUGCUCAUGAUGAGCUUUUGUGAUCAUGCUGUGUCCAUCAUACAUCGUGCGUCUGUCCGUCAUCCACAAUUUCUUUAAGUAACAUCUCCAAAACCACUGAAUGGAUUUUGAUGAAACUUGGCUUGGAUGUUCCAUGGAUGGUCCUCAACCAAUGUUGUUCAAACAGUUCCACGUGAUUGCACAUAGGGGCCCGCCAAAGUUAAAAAUAGAAAAAUCUUCAAACGACAUCUCCUCCUAAACAGUCGGUCAAAUAAUUUCACACAAAUGGUCCUUAUGGUCCUUUAAAAUGUAACCUUCUACCAAGAUUGUUCAAAUUAUUCCAAUUUGUCAAAAAACAUGCUCGAUUUUAAAAUAUUUUUAUAUAGCCCACCAUCAUCAGAUGGUGGGCUAUUCAAAUCACUCUGCAUCCAUGGUCCAUCGUCCUUCUGUCCGUCAGUUAACAAUUUCUCGUUAUCGCAUCUCCUCAGAAACUACUGGGGGAAUUUCGACCAAACUUUGUCAGAAUGAUGUAUUGGUCCCUAGUUGUGUCCCCCUGAAAAUCAGGUUCAACAAUUUUUGAGUGAGUUACGGCCCUUUGUUUAUUUUUAUAAUUUACAUAGAUUUAUAUAGGGAAAAAUUUUGAAAACUUCUUGUCCAAAACCACAGAGCCUAGGGCUUUGAUAUUUGGUAUGUAGCAUCAUCUAGUGGUCCUCUACCAAGAGUUUUCAAAGUAUCUCCAUAGGGUCAAAUAUGGCCCCGCCCCGGGUGUCACAUGGUUUAUACAGACUUAUAUAGGGAAAAACUUCGAAAAAUCUUUAUAUCCAAAACCACAGGGCCUAGGGCUUUUAUAAUGUGACAUCAUCUAGUGGUCCUCUACUAAGAUUGUUCAAAUUAUUCCCCUAGGGUCAAAUAUGGCCCCGCCCUGGGGGUCACAUAGCUUACAUAGACUUAUACAGGGAAAAACUUUGAAAAUCUUCAAAGCCUAGGGCUUUGAUAUUUGUAAUGUAGCAUCAUCUCUACCAAGUUUUUUCAAACUCUUCCCCUAGGGUCAAAUAUGGCCCCGCCCCGGGGGGUCACAUGAUUUAUAUAGACUUAUACAGGGAAAAACUUUAAAAAUGUUCUUGUCCAUAUCCUACAACAUUCAAAUUUGGACCACAUGACAGUGUAUAGUUUUGAGUGGCUAGAUGAACCUUGGCAUGAGUUGACCUUGAUCUUGACCUAGUGACCUACUUUCGCAUUUCUGUAGCUACUGCCUUCAAAUUUGAACCACAUGCAAAGGUUUGUGUACCGAAAUAAACUUUGACCUUGACAUUGACCUAGUGACCUACUUCCACAUUUUUGAAGGUACAGGUUUCAAAUUUGUACCACAUGCAUAGUUUUGUGUUCCGAAAUGAAAUUUGACCUAAAUUUUGACCUAGUGACCUACUUUCACAUUUCUCAAGCUAGAGCUUUCUAAUUUGGACCACAUGCAUAGGUUUGAGUACCGAAAUAAACUGACAUUGACCUAGUGACCUACUUUCACAUUUUUGAAGGUACAGGCUUCAAAUUUAGACCACAUGUAUAGUUUUGUGUUCUGAAAUGAAAUUUGACAUUGAUUUUGACCUAGUGACCUACUUUCACAUUUCUCAAGCUACAGCCUUCAAAUUUGGACCACAUGCAUAGUUUUGUGUACCAAAAUGAACUUUGACCUUGAUCUUGACCUAGUGACCUACUUUUACAUUUCUCAGGCUACAGUCUUCAAAUUUGGACCACAUGCAUAGUUUUGUGUUCUGAAUUGAAAUUUUACCUUGAUUUUUACCUAGUACCUAC